rnacentral:rRNA from 1 species
UACGUAGGGGGCAAGCGUUGUCCGGAUUUAUUGGGCGUAAAGAGCGUGUAGGCGGCCUGAAAGGUCAGCUGUGAAAACUCGAGGCUCAACCUCGAGACGUCGGUUGAAACCAUCUGGCUAGAGUCCGGAAGAGGAGUGUGGAAUUCCCGGUGUAGCGGUGAAAUGCGCAGAUAUCGGGAAGAACACCCGUGGCGAAGGCGGCUCACUGGUCCGGUACUGACGCUGAGGUGCGAAAGCGUGGGGAGCAAACAGG